GAGAAAAUGGCAGAAUGUUAUGCGGGUGGCUUGAAACCACUUUAUGGGGGUUAAACGCCUUCUUUUCUUG
rnacentral:tRNA from 1 species